GCCCCGGUGGCUCAGCCUGGUAGAUGAAACACCAGCCUAUAGCAUUGCCUUGGUAGGAACAAACAGAGAGGCAAGGGUCACGAGUUCAAAUCUCGUCCGGGGCUCCA
rnacentral:tRNA from 1 species